GACAGAGGGUGCAAACGUUGUUCGGAAUUACUGGGCGUAAAGCGCGUGUAGGCGGCUACGUGUGUCGGGCGUGAAAGCCCACGGCUCAACCGUGGAAGUGCACCCGAAACUGCGUAGCUAGAGUCCUGGAGAGGAAGGUGGAAUGCUUGGUGUAGAGGUGAAAUUCGUAGAUAUCAAGCGGAACACCGGUGGCGAAGGCGGCCUUCUGGACAGUGACUGACGCUGAGGAGCGAAAGCCGGGGGAGCAAACGGG
rnacentral:rRNA from 1 species